rnacentral:rRNA from 1 species
UUUUUAAAACAUGUCUUUUUGAUUAUAAUUUAAAGUUGUCUCUGCCCAAUGAUUUAUUAAAUGGCCGCAGUAUUUUGACUGUGCAAAGGUAGCAUAAUCAAUAGUUUUUUAAUUGAAAACUGGUAUGAAAGAGUUGAUAAAAUAUAUACUUUAUUUAAGUAAAUUUUUGAAUUUAUAAUUUUAGUAAAAAUACUAAAAUUUUUUUAUGGGACGAGAAGACCCUUUAGAAUUUUAUAAAUUUUUUUAUAUAAAUAUUUAUAAUUUUUUUUAUAUGAAUUAAUUUAUUUUAUUGGGAGGAUAAUUAAAUUUAUUUAACUUUAAUAUUUUAUUUUACAAUAAUUAUUGAAUUAAAGAUUUUUUUUAAAAAUUAUUAGAUUAAAUUACCUAAGGGAUAACAGCGUAAUAUUUUUGGAGAGUUCAUAUUGAUAAAAAUGUUUGCGACCUCUUGUC